rnacentral:rRNA from 1 species
AUUGAACGCUGGCGGCAGGCCUAACACAUGCAAGUCGAGCGGAGCGGCGGACGGGUGAGUAAUGCCUAGGAAUCUGCCUGGAAGUGGGGGAUAACGUCCGGAAAAGGGCGCUAAUACCGCAUACUAUCAGAUGAGCCUAGGUCGGAUUAGCUAGGUGGUGGGGUAAAGGGCUACCAAGGCGACGAUCCGUAACUGGACUGAGAGGAUGAUAAGUCACACUGGAACUGAGACAGGAUCCAGACUCCUACGGGAGGAAGCAGUGGGGAAUAUUGGACAAUGGGCGAAAGCCAGAUCCAGCCAUACGGCGUGUGUGAAGGAGGUCUGCAGAUUGAAAAGCACUUUAAGUUGGGAGGCGUUACAAACAGAAUAAGCACCGGCUAACUUCGUGCAAGCAGCCGCGGUAAUUC